AUACGUAGGGGGCGAGCGUUGUCCGGAAUGACUGGGCGUAAAGGGCGCGUAGGCGGCUUUUUAAGUCUGGAGUGAAAGUCCUGCUUUCAAGGUGGGAAUUGCUUUGGAUACUGGAGAGCUUGAGUGCGGAAGAGGUAAGUGGAAUUCCCAGUGUAGCGGUGAAAUGCGUAGAGAUUGGGAGGAACACCAGUGGCGAAGGCGACUUACUGGGCCGUAACUGACGCUGAGGCGCGAAAGCGUGGGGAGC
rnacentral:rRNA from 1 species